rnacentral:rRNA from 1 species
ACGGAGGGUGCGAGCGUUGUCCGGAAUCAUUGGGCGUAAAGGGCGCGUAGGUGGCCCGGUCAGUCCGUGGUGAAAGCGCGGGGCUCAACCCUGCGUCGGCCAUGGAUACUGCCGCGGCUGGGGCACUGUAGAGGCAGGCGGAAUUCCCGGUGUAGCGGUGAAAUGCGUAGAUAUCGGGAGGAACAUCGAUGGCGAAAGCAACCGUCUGGGCCUGAACUGACACUGAGACACGAAAGCGUGGGGAGCAAACAGGA